rnacentral:rRNA from 1 species
CGGACGGGUGAGUAACACGUGGAUAACCUACCUAUAAGACUGGGAUAACUUCGGGAAACCGGAGCUAAUACCGGAUAAUAUAUUGAACCGCAUGGUUCAAUAGUGAAAGACGGUUUUGCUGUCACUUAUAGAUGGAUCCGCGCCGCAUUGGCUAGUUGGUAAGGUAACGGCUUACCAAGGCGACGAUGCGUAGCCGACCUGAGAGGGUGAUCGGCCACACUGGAACUGAGACACGGUCCAG